rnacentral:rRNA from 1 species
UACGUAGGGUGCGAGCGUUGUCCGGAAUUACUGGGCGUAAAGAGCUCGUAGGUGGUUUGUCGCGUUGGUCGUGAAAACCGGGGGCUUAACCCUCGGCGUGCGGGCGAUACUGGCAGACUGGAGUACUGCAGGGGAGACUGGAAUUCCUGGUGUAGCGGUGGAAUGCGCAGAUAUCAGGAGGAACACCGGUGGCGAAGGCGGGUCUCUGGGCAGUAACUGACGCUGAGGAGCGAAAGCCAGGGGAGCGAACGGG